UGUCCAUCUUUGCUUUUAUUUUUUAUUAAGAACUGCACCUUCAGAGGAGCAGCUCUGUCCCUUUAAGAAGGACGGUCGUAGACUGGAGUUGUUGUUGUUGAACUUGUUCAUGUCUGAGGAUGUGUCGCUGAACUGAGGACAGAGUUCUCAGGUAGGAGCUGAGGAGCUGACUCCCUCCCACCGAGCACCGACUGCACCAGGACAAAGAGCUCCUCCACGCGAUGCUCGGUUCAGGUCCGAGAACCGGAUGAGUCUCAGCAGGGGGGUCUGUGAGCGGAUGUAACGGGGGCACCGGACCGGGUUUAACGGAACUAACCGGACCAGUAUGCGGACCCUGGUCCUCCUGUCCUGGUUGUGCAUGUGGACCUGGAGCCAGCGCUUGGACCACGACAGCUGAGACGGCCUCUGUCGCUAUGGCAACAGCGUGAAGUGCUGCUGGGGCUGGAGGCGGAUGGACGAGGGACGGUGUGGACCUGUCUGUCCCCAGGGCUGUAGACAUGGACACU